UAGCAAGCAAUUUUCCUUUGCUCUUCCAGAAGUGCUGCAAUGUAAACGACUAGACAGCUUUAUCACUAACCCAAUUCUUCUGUAUAUUUUUAUCACUUUGAAUAUUGCAUUUUAAAGUACAUCAUCUUAGUCUGGUCUGGGGAUGCUAUAAAACCUUUAUCACACACAUAGGCAUGUCACCUAUAGAUACACCAUAAGUGGCUUAAGCAACAUUUAUUUAUUUCUCACAGUUAUGGAGUCUGGGAAGUCCGAGAUGAAGCUGCCUGCAGAUCCAGCGUCUGGUGUGGGUCCCCUUUCUGGUUUGUAGAUGAUAAUGACCACGUGGCAGAGAGCAGAGAGGGAGUAGCUCUCUUUCCCUUGUUAUGUGGACACUAAUCUCAUCAAAGGGGUUCCACCCUCACAAACAAUUUACUUCUAAAAGGUCCCACUUCCCAGUGCUAUCACAUUAGAACUUCAGCAUAUAAAUUUGGAGGAAACACAAGCAUUCAUUCCAUGGUACACCCCUUCUGCUUGUGGAACCAAGGAACCCACCCAGAGAUUGAGUCUUCUGAGAAUGACAUCAGAGAAAGACUGCCCUUGCCACCCACACUGCAACAAAACUUUGGGAUCUUGGAUCUUGGGUUAAUAAUCUCGCAAUUCAGAAGGACUUCUCCAGACUCUUAGAUGUGAACCUUCACUGGAGACCUUAAGAUGAUGUCAGCUGAAAAGACUUGAAGACUGCAGAUGAAUCAAAGGCAGGAGUGUCUCCAUGGCUGGGGAAAGAAAUCAUCUGAAGUCAUCUUCAUUCACAUGUUUAGCUGUUGAUACUGCCUGUUGUCAGGACUCUCAGCUGGGGCUGUCCCAUGGAAACUUAUGUAUGGCCUCUCCAUGUAGCCUGGGUUGCCUCACAGCAUGACGGCCUUGGACAUCUUACCUGGUGCUCAGGGCUCCAAAGGGGCUGGUGCUGUAUGCUUUUGGAUAGUAGAUGGAGGAAAACAAGAAAAAGUGGUCAUGGUGCAAUAGUCAUCUGAUACUUUCAACAUUUACCAUGGCUUCCAUUCGCUCUACAGACUCCAGAUGAACUCGGUUUUCCAAUAUCAACUCUACCAAUCCCUACCCUCCAGUACCAGGACGUUCAGCAUAGCUGAAGGAUGUCACAAAAUUAUGAUGUAGUAUUCUCUAUGUUUUUCUUAAGUUGUAACUUCACUUAAGUUUCAUAGGUACUUAGCAAUUUUUGUAUACUUCUUGCUGCAAGAAUCAUGGUGACUGUUUCAAGGAUCUUACAAUUUGCUUUUGCCAUUUAGUAUAGUCUGCCUUAUGUUUUAUGUGUGUGUGUUUGUAUGUGUAUAAUUUCUGACUACAUCCUAGAGCUUGGUCCUAAGUUUUAAUAAAUUUUUACAGCCUCUAAGUCCAUAUUUAUUUAACAAAUAUUUAUUGAAUAAAUUAUAUGUGUUAGACAUGUUAUAAACAUAAAGAA
rnacentral:lncRNA from 10 species